rnacentral:lncRNA from 1 species
CAGAACACUAGAUUUUCAAUGUGUUCAAUUAACAUGGCUGUUUUGUCUGAUCUUGUAAUUAGAGGCUUUAGAGGACAUAUGACUUGGAAGAAUGUUUUGGAAAGAAUUAGAAGCACCAACACUGUGGCCUCAAGUCCCAGAAAGAAGACUUAAAAAAAAUACAGAACAGAGAGAAAUACCUCUUUUUGUCAUGGGCACCAUGGUGCAGCUUCUUAAUGGCCUUCUCCAGAGGACUGCGUGCUAAGUGGAAUGACACCUGCCUCCUUUUAUUGGAUUUCCAGCACUAUUUCUCAAAAUUAAGGUCCUCAUUUCCAACUCACAGCUUCAGGUGUGCCUAUAUGAUAACAUUUAUGCAUCUGUAUAAAAU